CAGCCGCCACGGGAACACGGAGGGUGCAAGCGUUAAUCGGAAUUACUGGGCGUAAAGCGCACGCAGGCGGUCUGACAAGUCAGAUGUGAAAUCCCCGGGCUUAACCUGGGAACUGCAUUUGAAACUGUCAGGCUGGAGUCUUGUAGAGGGGGGUGGAAUUCCAGGUGUAGCGGUGAAAUGCGUAGAGAUCUGGAGGAAUACCGGUGGCGAAGGCGGCCCCCUGGACAAAGACUGACGCUCAGGUGCGAAAGCGUGGGGAGCAAACAGGAUUAGAUACCCCGGUAGUCCCUGUCUCUUAUAC
rnacentral:rRNA from 1 species